rnacentral:rRNA from 1 species
CAGUCGCCGCGGGAACACGUAGGUGGCAAGCGUUGUCCGGAAUUAUUGGGCGUAAAGCGCGCGCAGGCGGAUCGGUCAGUCUGUCUUAAAAGUUCGGGGCUUAACCCCGUGAUGGGAUGGAAACUGCCAAUCUAGAGUAUCGGAGAGGAAAGUGGAAUUCCUAGUGUAGCGGUGAAAUGCGUAGAUAUUAGGAAGAACACCAGUGGCGAAGGCGACUUUCUGGACGAAAGCUGACGCUGAGGCGCGAAAGCGUGGGUAGCGAACCGGAUUAGAUACCCCAGUAGUCCCUGUCUCUUAUACC